rnacentral:tRNA from 1 species
UGUGUUGUGGCUCAGUGGUUGAAUGCUUGCUUCACAUGCAUGAGACACUGGGUUCAAUCCUCAGUACCACAU